GGUUUUCUUGUUCUUCAAAUUUCAAAACCCGGCGAGCGCUUCGACUUGAACUCUGCUCGGGAGGUUAAAGGGUAUCGCCCGCGAAUGCUUGAAUGCGCGACCAAUGAAAGCGCAGGGGAAUUUCGGUAUGAAUACAAAAUAGUUAACAUCGUUAACUAUUACGUAAUUCCGGUUCCAAUGAAUGUCUCGCUGAUCUGAGGAUCUUGAGAUAUGCUUGCCAUUCCGACUUCGAAAGUGAAAAAGGCAGGAGCGGAUUAGUUUGUUCUGGUGUCGCGAGUUGAAAUCCGAAGAAUAGUGAUUAAAUUUAGUCCAGUAGUUGUUUUCCGUGAAUUUAACUCUCCGCUUGUGUCCCCAUUGAGCGGAACUGAAGGAAAAAGCCGCUUCUGACCCACGAUCGGAGAUUGGAUUUCCGCCACCUUGUCCGUCAAUUCUAGUGGCCGCGCGGAGCGCAAACCAUCACUCGCGCAUCCAGGGAAGGCGCAUCACGACACAUCUACGAGUCGAACGCGCACUCAACGCCUACGGACUUACCAUUCAUCGCCUGGCGUGGAACGGCGAUAAGGUAGAUUCUCCACGUAAAACCUAGGUAGUGUGAGUAGAAAACUAUUUUUACCCUAAAAUAACAUGCGCAUGUAGGGUUAAAAGAACCAAAGAAUAAAACCACACACAACUAACAACGCCACACAACAAUGCCACAUGCAAUCGAAGCGUAGAGAUUUACCGACGGCGCGCUUAUGCUGAUCGCUAUUAAUAAAGGGUUACACAAGAUGCGAAAUUAGGCUUUGUAGAAUAAUCGCUGGACUUGAAUCAAUGGGUCCGAUGUUCGAAUCCCGUAAUAGUUAAAUAAAAUUGUUCAUGUAGUUAUUAUUUUUCGUUAAUUGGAAGUUUCGAAGUAAAUGUUGUAAAUAUAAUUAAAACUUGUGGGAUAAUAUGUUGAGUUAGCUGAAUGAAUGUUGUGUGAUAACCAAUAAUUAGAUGUAGACGGAAGUUUUGUGCAUUUACUGGCUAGCGGUGUAGCCUAAAAACCCGAAUAAAUUUCAGAUAGGUCACGAGCCCAGGGUUGGGGCUCCUCUUCUGUUGUGGACAACUUUUCAACCCCCGCACCUCGUCCUCUGAAACUUCAAGGUGGGUGGGUUUGGCAUCAUUGCGUAGGUCCAAUGAUGAGAAUUUUGGCAUAAACGGUGUUCAUUGGAAACAACCGUAUUGCCUCUGUUGCCUGAAUUGUGGAACGCGGACAAACGGUGUCGCGGGUCCUUCUUAGCGCAGAAGAGUCGCGGAAAUAACCGGGUUUGUGAGAAAAAGGACAAACCCGCCCUCAGUGGGUGUCUCAUUGCCGGGCAAGGAUAAAACACGGCGGUCGGUCUCCCUCGCGGGAGUGGCGCUUAAGCCGACCGCUUAUCUGCGCAAAA